UCUUUUUAAAAAAGAACUUUAGGUAGGGUUAACAUACACCCGUAUUUUCCCGGACACGUCAGGCUCUUUGGUUCUUAAAUCGCUGCCCGGGAGGAAUUUUUGAAUUUUAAAAAUUCCUCCCGGGAAAAUACGGACGUAUGAUACCCCUGUUGGUACAAAAGUACAUCCUGUGGCACAUCCCUUAAAUCAGAACUUUUUAUAGGGAACCGGUUGUUAUGAUUUUGGCAGCUCAUCACUGCACACAAGGGUUUUUAAAA